rnacentral:rRNA from 2 species
GGGCUACACACGUGCUACAAUGGCAUAUACAAAGAGAAGCGACCUCGCGAGAGCAAGCGGACCUCAUAAAGUAUGUCGUAGUCCGGAUUGGAGUCUGCAACUCGACUCCAUGAAGUCGGAAUCGCUAGUAAUCGUAGAUCAGAAUGCUACGGUGAAUACGUUCCCGGGCCUUGUACACACCGCCCGUCACACCAUGGGAGUGGGUUGCAAAAGAAGUAGGUAGCUUAACCUUCGGGAGGGCGCUUACCACUUUGUGAUUCAUGACUGGGGUGAAGUCGUAACAAGGUAACCGUAGGGGAACCUGCGGUUGGAUCACCUCCUUA